GCUUACGGCCAUACCACCUUAGGCACGCCCGAUCUCGUCUGAUCUCGGAAGUUAAGCAGGGUCGGGCCUGGUUAGUACUUGGAUGGGUGACCGCCUGGGAAUACCAGGUGCUGUAAGCA
ensembl:rRNA 5S_rRNA 5S ribosomal RNA